rnacentral:rRNA from 1 species
GUGGGGAAUUUUGGACAAUGGGGGAAACCCUGACGCAGCAACGCCGCGUGAGUGAUGAAGGCUUUCGAGUCGUAAAACUCUGUCUUUGGGGACGAAUAAUGACGGUACCCAAGGAGGAAGCCCCGGCUAACUACGUGCCAGCAGCCGCGGUAAUACGUAGGGGGCAAGCGUUGUCCGGAAUCACUGGGCGUAAAGGGCGCGUAGGCGGUUUGUUAAGUCAGGUGUGAAAGUUUUCAGCUUAACUGGAAAAGUGCACUUGCAACUAACUUACUUGAGUACUGGAGAGUUAAGCGGAAUUCCUAGUGUAGCGGUGAAAUGCGUAGAUAUUAGGAAGAACACCGGUGGCGAAGGCGGCUUACUGGACAGAGACUGACGCUGAGGCGCGAAAGCGUGGGGAGCGAACAGGAUUAGAUACCCCGGUAGUCC